AGAGUGGCCCAGCCCACCAGAUCUCCAGGGCAGCCCUGCCAGCCCGGCUCAGGCUGGCCCAGCUUGGCCACUCACGCACCAUGAAGUACCCGCUGGUGCCGCUGGUGAACGACCUCACGUUUUCUUUCCUGGUGCUCUGGCUCGGCCUGCCCGUGGCCUUGCUGUUGUUCUUGUUGAUCGUCUGGUUUCGCUUCUUACUUAGCCAAGAUUCAGAGGAAAAUGACCCAGAUUUAUGGUUCGAUUGGGACCCCUGGAGCAAAGACCCAGCCGAGUCUCACUGGCACGAGACACUCCACAGCCAAGAGGAAGAGAGGCCUGGCCAGUGAGCCUGCCCUGACAGACCCAACCUGCCGUCUGUCCCCAGCUCGGUUUUCCUGGAGUCAGCGGCGCGGCAGCAGGGGACGAAGUGGAUGGGAGGGAGGAGGACUCAGGCGAGUGAGGGGCUUCCCUGAGCCGCCUGCCUCAUCUCCUGCAACAAUGGACACACAGCCCCCAAGGAUCCCCCGGAGGAUCCCCGGGGCCCCCGGGGAGCAGCCCACAUCUGUGAGGACAGUGUGGGAAAACUGAGGCACGGAGUAGUCAAGUAACUUGUUGAGUCGAAGUGGUGGAGUCGGGAUUUGAACCUAAGUCCUGUGACUCCAGAGCCCAACCCUGACCCACUGGGCUCACUGUUUUCCAGACUGGACUGUUGCGGGGAGCUGUGGGGAGGCACGCUGAAGAAACCCCAGUCGGUCCUUGCACCCCCCCUGGCCACCCCAGAGGCAGCGGGGUUGGCGGACUGUAGAGGGGGCCAGCCCUCCAGGGAAUCACCAGGCAUCACCUUCACUCCCUGCUUCUCUCUCACCACACAACCCACCAGGCUCCACUGGCCUUUUCAGUUGUCUACCAGAGACAGAAUGGAGCCGAAUGGUUAGCUGGUCUCCCGGACCUUGGUGUCCCUGCUCGGCCCUGCUGGCAUGAACGGUCCAUCCAAAGCACAGAUCAGAACCUUCGGUCUCGCAGCUCUGGCUCCGGGCGAAUGCCCGAGUUCCUCUCGGGGAGAGAGCGCCACCCUUUGGCGCCUGAGCCUGGCUGAAGUGGCUGGGCGAGGUUUCUGUUCUUACCAGCCAGGCUGCAGGAAACACCCUUGACCUUCUGCCUCUGCACACAGCUGUCUCCGGGACAAACUCUGAAAGGAGAAAGUGUCCAAUGGAAGCUCUAUGCAAUGCCAGUUUGCAGAUACUGUGAAGGUCUCUUACUGAAAGGUGGCCCCAGGAGUAUACCUAAAAGGGCCCAUUUCCCCUGGCCUUUGCCCCACUGUGCACCCCUGACACGCACGCAACACACUCGCCCGGCUCCUGCAUGUGCCUUGUUCUGGCGCAUGAGCAUUUGUCAACCCUGUGUUCUCCUGGGAGCUUUCCGGGCGUUGAAUAAACACUUUUGGUAACAAACUUC